AGCAGCCGCGGUAAUUCCAGCUCCAAUAGCGUAUAUUAAAGUUGUUGCAGUUAAAAAGCUCGUAGUUGAACUUCAGGCCUGGCUGGACGGUCCGCCUUCCGGGCGAGUACUGUCUGUGGUCGGGUCCUACCUUCUGGCGAAGCGUCAUGGCCUUAACCGGCCGUGGCGGGGAACCAGGACUUUUACUGUGGAAAAAUUAGAGUGUUCAAAGCAGGCAAUUCGCUUGGAUACAUUAGCAUGGAAUAAUGGAAUAGGACAAUGGUUCUAUUUGUUGGUUUCUAGGACUGUUGUAAUGAUUAAUAGGGAUAGUUGGGGGCAUUAGUAUUCAAUUGUCAGAGGUGAAAUUCUUGGAUUUAUUGAAGACUAACUACUGCGAAAGCAUUUGCCAAGGAUGUUUUCAUUAAUCAAGAACGAAAGUUAGGGGAUCGAAGACGAUCAGAUACCGUCGUAGUCUUAACCAUAAACUAUGCCGACUAGGAAUCGGGCGAUGUUGACAAAAUGACGCGC
rnacentral:rRNA from 1 species